UACGGGGGGGGCAAGCGUUGUUCGGAAUUACUGGGCGUAAAGGGCUCGUAGGCGGCCAACUAAGUCAGACGUGAAAUCCCUCGGCUUAACCGGGGAACUGCGUCUGAUACUGGAUGGCUUGAAUCCGGGAGAGGGAUGCAGAAUUCCAGGUGUAGCGGUGAAAUGCGUAGAUAUCUGGAGGAAUACCGGUGGCGAAGGCGGCAUCCUGGACCAUAACUGACGCUGAGGCGCGAAAGCUAGGGGAGCAAACGGG
rnacentral:rRNA from 1 species